UACGUAGGGUGCGAGCGUUAAUCGGAAUUACUGGGCGUAAAGCGUGCGCAGGCGGUUCGUUGUGUCGGUGGUGAAAGCCCCGGGCUUAACCUGGGAAUGGCCAUGGAAACUGGCGAACUGGAGUGUGGCAGAGGGGGUGGAAUUCCGCGUGUAGCAGUGAAAUGCGUAGAGAUGUGGAGGAAUACCGAUGGCGAAGGCAGCCCCCUGGGUCAAUACUGACGCUCAUGCACGAAAGCGUGGGGAGCAAACAGG
rnacentral:rRNA from 1 species